GUUAAGUGUAGAACCGUGGCAGAUUCCCUUCUGAAGAUUAAAAAACAAAAUCUUUGAACAGUUUUCUUCUUCACGCAAACCUGAAAAUUUUCGUCUCCAUCUCCGCCGCGAUCGAGUUGCGACCUUUCUUCCGUCAUUGUGCUUGCAUUGCUCCGACCACCAUUCUUCUCCACCGGCCCUGCUUCUCUACUGCACCGUUGCUUCUCUGUUGCGCCGUUCUUCUCCUGCGAGCUAACCAACCUGGUUUGAUUUCUCCUGCGCCCUUCUUAUGCUCUU
rnacentral:lncRNA from 1 species